GAAAUGCGAUAAGUAAUGUGAAUUGCAGAAUUCAGUGAAUCAUCGAAUCUUUGAACGCACAUUGCGCCCCCUGGUAUUCCGGGGGGCAUGCCUGUUCGAGCGUCAUUUCACCACUCAAGCCUCGCUUGGUAUUGGGCGACGCGGUCCGCCGCGCGCCUCAAAUCGACCGGCUGGGUCUUCUGUCCCCUCAGCGUUGUGGAAACUAUUCGCUAAAGGGUGCCACGGGAGGCCACGCCGCAAAACAAACCCAUUUCUAAGGUUGACCUCGGAUCAGGUAGGGAUACCCGCUGAACUUAAGA
rnacentral:misc_RNA from 1 species